AAAAAAAAAUACCAAAGAUUCGUGAAUUAUUACUAGAUCUCAAAAAUAAGAUGCGUUUCCUUUAUCCUACGAAAAAAAAUUCUUUUUUCUUUAAUUAUACCCAUAGCAAGUUUCAUUACAAUAAAAGGGGAGGGGAGGGGAAAGAUGGAGAAACCCCGUCGUCCCAUCGUGAAAAAUUUCCAUAAAACAUUACGCGACAAUUUUAAUUACAAUUAACGCGACAGAUUUACACAAUACGUAACAAACGCGAUCGAAACGUGGGUGAAACGUUGCAUUUUUAAUCCAUCCGCUAGCGGAAUUUUUAAAUACUUCACUCCCCUUCCUUCCUUCCUUCCUUUUUUUUUUUUUUCCUUUCAAUAAUACCUUCCACGCGGUUAACGGUCGCCCCAAUGUAAAUACUUGGAAUUUUUCCCCGUGAAAAAUUUAAUCGCGCGCUCCCCGUGUGUUAUUUAUAGGGAAAAAAUUUUCACAGACUCGUCGCGAGUCUUUAUCACGCGCAGGACAUUGACUUGACAAACCUUCCGCCGUUAUCUUGGCCCCGCGAUUACGCGGAUUCGCCGGAUCUCUCGUUCCUUCUCUCUCUCUCUCUCUCUCUCGUUCUUUUAGCUCGUGCACGGUGCAACAGCCUAAUGCUAAUUAUCAGCCAUGCCUCGUUGGACAUAACAAUGACUAAGUACGUAUAUUUAUACGGUGUAUUAUCGCGAGACGUGACGCGCCGCGCGGGCUGUCUCGUCGGUCGAAAUCGUGCGGUAUCGUGGGAGAAAAUCAUCACGGGGGGGGAUCACGAGAGAGAGUGAUCGCGGGAAAGAAAGAGAACAAUCGUAAUCGCGUGGAAAUUUAUUAUUUUGGAGCAGAUUUGCAAAUUUUUUUUGACGAAUCUCGAUGAAUUUUUUUUUUAUUAAGCAUAAGUAUAAAAAAUUUUUUCUUUUUUUGAAUUUGAAAUUGAAAUUCCUCUUAUAUAGUUUAUAGAAUUUAUUGUUUUCAAAUAAGAGAAUAAUGUUUACCGUAGGCGUAUAACGACACGUGCAUAAACAUUAUCAACAUCUCUCGUUCUUUGUCGCCCUGUUGUUGGAUGCCAGAUAGAGAGCAUAGUUGAUUGUUCUCGCGCUAUACUACACUACGGAGAUAAGUAACAAUGGCUUUAUGAGCCUUAUGCUAUGUUUCUUUCCUUUUUCUUCUUCUUAACAUUACAAUUAAAAAUACUUUGUAGAGAAAUAUUUUUAAUCGAAGAUGUCGAAUGCGAAAUACUUUUUAAUUACUUUUUAUUUCGAUUUAUUCUCGUUUUUCUAAAAGCCUAUCCGUAUAACACGUUGCUUUAUUAAUUCGUUUCGAUCGAUCAUUGAAACUCGACGAAGGAAUAACCAUGCACGACAAAAUUCUCAGGAUUCCAGCGUUAUAAAUUUAUUUAGGAUCGUGCAUCGACUUUCUUUUUUUCCAAGUUUUCCCAAGUGUUUCAGCUCCUUAUCUGAUCAUAAAUCUGUCGAAACACUAGUUCUGGAAUCCGAUACAACAUUACAUUUCACUGAUUUUACGAUCUCUACUAUAUUAUAUCCGUAGACCCGUACUUUACUUCCAGGAACCCGUAUAUAUUUCGACAACGCAACGCAAUACAAUAGCGUUCGGUGUCACUGAAAUAUAUAUAUAUAUAUAUAUUAUGUAUAGGAAUGAAGAAACGUUUCCUGCAAACGUUUAAAAAUUUUAUCACCGCAUCAAAAAUUCGCCUCAUCUUUUAUAAUUCUUCUAUUUCGAGUUUAAACUGCUACAAUACCAUUUUUAUCUUAACGCGAUAUAUGCAUAAUCUACAUGUCAAUUAUUUCCUAACUCGAUCGACUCGAAAUAACGAUCCAACAACGAUCGAUUUUGCUUGGAAGAAAAAAAGAAAGAAAGAAAGAGGGCAAAUAAAAUUCGAACCGAAGCUCUCGCAAUUUUUUUAACACCCGUGCUCGCGCAAAAGCGCGCUCGGCCGCCGCGAUACACACUUUGUCGCUACUUGGAAACUGCCUCCGGAUUGCACCUCGCCGCAAAUAUCGUAUGCAAGCCGACCGUGCGCGCGCGAGAAGGAGAGGGACGAGAGAAAGCGCGAGCGACGAUGAGGGAGACGGAGCGCGAACGUGUGAACCGCGUAGGAGAGAGAAAGAGAGAGAGAGAAAGGGAUCGAGAAGCAUAAACGAUGUGUCUCGUUGUGCGAAGUAAUUGACGAGUUCGCGUGUAGGCGGUUGGGCGCCUAGAUCGCCUCGAGCGUACCGUAGGCUUAUCCUCAGAGACGAAAAACGAAACGAAACGAAACGAAACGAAACGAGACGAAACGAGCAGCCCUGAUACCAGCAGGCCGGGAAGGAGUCGAGGAGGAGGAGGUGGAUUCGACACACGUACACGUACACUCGUGUGUUUUAUACACAGCACGCUCGUGUACACGCGAGAGGAGAGGAAACGAGACGGGACGGAGAGAGCGAAAGAGGGGGGGAGCCAGAAAUUGACAGAAGAGUCGGUUAGUCAGCAAGAGGGACGGAGAGAGAGGAUUGUGAGAGGCGAAUAUGCGCACGAUAGGAGAAUUAGUGAGUGAACGAACGGGAGAAAAAGAAAAAGGAGGCAAGAAGGAGAGAGAGAGGAGCAGUGCUGCAUCACCCUGAACUUGCCCGAAUACCUUCCCUCCGAACCUUGCGACGAUGUGUAUCCGCUCACCAAUGCACAUGGCACCCAAGCGAGUUCUCUCUCCUCUCUCUCUCUCUCUUUUUCUCUCCUCCUCUUCACGCCUGUCUUUUAUCCCUGUUCACCUCUCUCUCUCUCUCUCCCGCUCGAAUCUCGCUCUCGCCCUUUCAGCCCGCUUCCUUUUCUCUUCUUACUUCGCCUCCUCUUCGAAGUUAACCCACCCAUUUCUUACGCUCUGCACCGGUAUACCGGGUGUCGGGGUAAUAUUCGAGGAUAUAGAUAGCUCCGGCCGGGCGACGGGACGAGCGGAACUUCCGGUGGAAUAUUAUAGGAGAAGGCGCGGAGUUAUUGACGGUUCCCUUUUAUCGGGACGGUGGCCGCAGAAGGAAUUCCUCGAGAUAUUCUCGUUGCCAGAAAUAUUCUCCGUUUGAGAUAGAUAAAUCCUUUUCUCCUUUUUAUUACGAUACUGGAAGAAUUCUUCGAUUUUUUUAUAUUCCAAUUUAAAAUUAUCACGUUCGUUCCAACUUAUUCACCGAUAAGAAAACAGAAACAUCGUUGUACACCUGAAGUAGCAAAAAACGACUUGUACUUGUGGUGGAGAAACUACAAGCCGCCCGAAUACUGGGAAUAAAACAAACAAAUAAUGGAAAACGAAACCCGUGCACGUACCUAUCCCCACACACACAAACACAAAUACGCACGCAGGAAAUAUACGCUAUUUCAAACAAGUCAAACAGUAAGAACCCCGUGGAUCGAGGCCCGCAUCCAUCCUUCUCGAAGAUCGAGACGAGAUUUCCUUUUGUGACUGGCUGAACACCCGGUACGUGGAUACAGGCACACCGACUACAGUCAGCAUUAUACACCUACCCUGACUCGCCUCUACCUACCUACCUGCUCGCUAACGAGCCUACCUGCCGGACUUCUUGCAUUCGAAGAGGUUGCCUAAGAAGAAGAGGGGCCCCCAUCCCUGUUCCGGAGACCCGGCCCAUCCCCAUGGAUUCGGGAACUACACCCCGCGGUGGUGGCUGCUUGCACCUUCCUUUAUAAACGGUUAAACAAAUUUCCCUGAAAAACGUAUUUCCUAGAAAAAGGGGCGAGGAACGAGAGAGAGAGAGAGAGAAAAAGAGAAAACGUAUUUGGGGGGCGAGACAGGGCCCACAGAAAAUAUGUUUGCUCUUACCUUUUACCCGGUUUUCGUGGGAUCGCGUGUAUAUUCGUGAGAUUUCGAGGGAUUUUUUCAAAAUGUUUACAGCGGGGCAUAAAUUCAAUUUAUCGGUGUCGAGCAUUUUCUCCUCCCCCUUUUUCCCCUCGCGAAUAUCGUUUUGUUGUCGAGUGUGGCAUAAUCUCUGUUCUUUUUCUCUUUACUUUUGGAAAUAAAAGCUCGGUCGAGAAAAGUGAUUUUCUUCGAUGGAAUCUGGACGAUCGUCGCGGUUCACUUCUCCCUGGGAUCGAUAAGCUCCCUCUUUUCGACGGCGGUUGAAAGAUCCGGUCCCUGACCUGCGACACGUGCUGGCCACGUGGGGAUCCUUUGGAUUCGCGUUGUCACGCAAUGUGUCACGCAAAGAGAAAAAGAAGGGGGAGAAGAGGAAGAAAAAAACAGUAUUCGAUCAAUUACCAACAAGCAAUUCGUCAUAUCUUAGCUGGUGGCCUCGUUCAUUUCCCAUCACACCGAUCGCUCGCAAAUUGUUAUUAACACGUACAAAACUUUCUUCUUCUUUUCACCCAAUGCUUGUUUUAACUUGUUUAUAUUUCCCUAACUCUUCUAUUCUCGUUAACUUUUUUAUCCCCCUAACAAUCUUCCAUCUUCCACGGAACGUUCUCCUCGAGCUUUUCAAUUUUCACUCGCAUAAUUAUCUCGCCGACGAACGAGAACGAAUCCGCGCAUCGUUCUCACCUACAUCGAAAGAGGGAAAGAGAGAGGCGGUCGGUCAACAGACUUAUCUACGGGGCCGGAGUGCGUCGACAAACAUGUUGAACAUUCGCGUACCGCGAUAAGGGCCACGCGAUAUCGCAAUGGACAAACAUUUCCUCCGCCGUUUGAUCGUUCACGCACACUGUCCACGCGACGCGUGGAAUCCAACCAAGCGAAGAUUCGAACGCGAAGAGACGUAACUCUGAUCCGCGCGCGUAAUCGCGAUCCAAUCGACGGCGAUGAUAACGGUGAUAAGCGGUUUCUCGGUAUCGCGGCUCGAUCUUCGCCGAUCGGUAUCUUUCCUCGCCGGGGUCACGUACGGGGAUAUCUCGAGAAAGAGAGAGAGAAGGGGGAGAAAAUUUUAAAGAUUCGUGUUCUUUGGAAUUUUUUACAGUGUAAUAAUAACAACAGGUGUUAUUUAGCCGGUGGAUGUUCUGAUUUCACAUUGCAAUGAUUUUGAAAAUUGCAUCGGUGCUGAUGUAAAGGUUAGUUAAGAAUUGUGACGGAGAAUUAUUUCGAAACUAUCUGCGUGAGAAUAAGGUGUUUAAUAUUUCUUUUGAUUCGUACAAACAAUCGUUGGAGAAAAAUAUGUAUUGCGUUUGGAAAAAGGGAGUCUCUUCGAAAUAGACAAACUUUUGCGUGUAUCUCUCCAAUUUUUAAAUUUUUCGAACGUUAAAAGAGAAGAUGAUGGACGAUGAAGAAAAGCGAGUCGCGAGAAGGAGGCGAGAGAAACCGAAGAUGAUUGUUUAACAACGUUGGAAUCGCGAGUAUUAUCGCGCGGCGACGCGCAGCACGCGCGUUGUUUACACGAGAACGAUGUUCCUUGACAAGAUUAAUAAUAGUCGGAAUUGAAUAACUUAUUACGAGCGCGAGAAUACGUGGCUGCCUAGUUGCAUCACGGGUAAACAUUAACGCUAUUUAAAGGAAGAGAUUCAUUCAUUGUGUACACACCGUGGCUGCGACCGCGUUUCCUGGUUUGGCCAACCACGUGUCCAACUGCGUUACAACGAAAACGUUAAACGAUUCGACUUUGGAUAGUCGGGUCUUGUUCCAGCAUUCGUUUCGAUUUCGAUUUCGAUUUGGAAUACGUACGAAAAGCCCAAGAUUUUGAUUAUUUCUUUUCUCUUUAGAGAAAACAUCGCUUCUUCGAGGAUUCUUCUUUAUCUAACUGUAAUUAUUUGGUUUUGUAUGAUUUAACUUUUGGAUUAACUGUCAACUUUAUUCUAAGACGCAUCUUAGAAUAUGUAUAUACAAUUUUUUAUUUAAUUUUUCGCGAGUAUUAAUUCAGAUUAUCACCGCUCGUUCCUCGUCUCCUUAAGACGAAAGGAUCGUCCAAUAAAACGUAGAAUUAUUAAUAACUCCGCUUAAUCGCAAUAUCAUUAGGAUUCGCCUCGAUGCAGCGAUAAAUCGAGAUCGUUAUAACCGGGCUAUAAACGGUGCGCAGUCGUAAAAUCCGUUUGGCAAAGCGGGCGACGACACUUUUUACCGUUUUCUUGCAACAUCGCGGAUCCUCUAAUUGCCACCCCUAAUAAACGUAUUACGUGGACACGUGUUACUUUUUAUCCUUUUAUACUUUUGAGAGAGAGAGAGAGAAAAAGUACAAAGAGAAAAGAGCAAGAGAAGAGGGAGAAGAGGUAGAGGAAGAAGAAGAAGAAGAAGAAGAAAAAGAAGAAGAAAAGGGAAGAAAUCGCGCCACCGCGAAAGAAUGAAAAAGCAAAAGGCGCGUAUGAUAAUAAGGCAUGCCCACCAAAAAUACCGGUUUCCCUCUCGGGCCCUCUCUUGGUUACGAUUCAGGUUUGUCCUGCCUGUUUCCGAGACUCUGUCGAAACGAUUUUCGUCAAACAAAGUCGCUCGACCGUACACGGCUCUCCAGUCAAUUAACGCCAGAAGAUCGUCGUCCACCUCUUGUCUCGACACUGGGGAAUAAGAGGAAGGAGAGGGGGCAGCUUCUCCCGGGAAAAGAAUCGUAACGUAACGUAAUAAUUCCAAACCACCAUUGGAAUUCGAUCGAGAAAACGGUUCUCUAAGCUCGGUUGGUGCCAAAAUGGCGAACGGGGGUGGGGAACACGAGAUUGAAUAAACGGGGGUGAUGAAGGGAACGAAACGCGCUCGAAAACAAGAGGGACAGAGAGAGGGAAGGUUUGGAAGAGAAAGCUGAAAGGAAGGAAGGAAGGAAGGAAAGGGAAGAGGUGAAGAUACAUCGUCGGGUUCUGUGGAGGGGAAGGAAGGGGAGGCGGGGAGUAACGAGAAAGGAAUAAAGAAAGGAGGAUUGGGAACGAGGCGCAGAGCGAGAAGGGAGAGAGAGCGCAAACCGUCCGUUGAACGAAGGUUAGCAAUCUGCGUAGUGUUUUACGACAACUAUAAAUAUGGCUGUAAAGCUCUUUGUUUAGAGCAGCUAGUCUCCGGCUCUCGAAACUCCUCUGCCCUUCUGCUCUGGCUGCGCGGCCAUUUAGGCCGUGCCUCCGCCGUGUAACCGAUUCUUUCGCUUCGAAUUCGUACCUACUACGCGCUACCUCCGCGAGGUAUCCGACGAUUCUCCAAUUCUCCAACCAUCGUCCCCAUAAAAUAAAUAUAUAUAUAUAUAUAUAUAAAACACGCGACGAACGAGAUACGUACGUAAUUACGAACGAAAAAAAUAUUUCUAGGGGAAACUAACUUUUAUUCUGCAACGAACUUUUCAUUUCAAACGUUUUGAGGAAUGCGACGUUUCGUGGCGCGACCGUGCUUGUGACCGAUGAUGGUUUUCAGGGAGAGGAGAGGAGGGGGGAGGCCGCGUUUACACGUGAAAAUUAUCGACGACUCCGCGCGCGGCGGUCCAUUAAAAAGGAGGAAAAGAAACCGCUCCGUCCAGUGGCAUCUGCUAACCAUAUGCUAAAAUGACUGAGCCCGGAUAACACCCUGUCACGCUAAUGUCAGGUUAAGCGGCGAGAAUGAUUUACAAGCGGCGAGUCGGAGCGAACCGGCAACGUUACACACAUCGGCGCGAGCGUCUCGCCCUCUGCCCACCGUGCACACCGUGUACCCCGUGUAUAUAAUACUCGUUACAACAACGUUAUUGCACGGGCGCAAUUAACGUCCGCUAGAUACGCAGCGUCGAUAGGUUAAACGCGCGAGACACGUCGCGUGGACUCUCUCUCUCUCUCUUUCUCCCUCUCUCUUUGUCCGUCUCCCGGUUCGCACGCUCGCUCUUCCACCUCGACGCGUUAAAAUAAUUUAUGCCUUCCCUACACACGGCUUCCGGAUGUAUUCGUUACGCUCGAAACGCCAAGUCCGCUUGAUUCCUUGGGCCAUUUGUCGAUGCUUGGUUAAUUCGCCCGAUUUCCGAGAUUCGUGUUUCCACGAUAUCACGACGGUAUUUUAUGCUGUUAGGGAUAAGGGGCGUUCCAAUAAUUUUCAUCGUGGAUACGUAAGUAUCGUGCAGGGGGAGAUAUGAAUAUGCAAAUUUCCCUUUUGACCGGGGGAUGAUUAAUUUCGGAUUGCGAAGUUGUAGAACGAAUUGCGAAGUUGAAGUUUUGUUAUUGCGUAGCUUUAAAUUUUUUUCUUUUUUAUAUAUAUUUUGUAUUUAGAUUUUAGGGAUACGAAUUUUUUCUUCAAAUUUGAAAUUCUAAGAUCUGUUAUUGAUCGAUGGUUUUAGAUGAUUUUGAGAAAAUCAUUUUUUUUUUACGCGCGCGUUGAUAAGAGUAACAACAAUUCGUUUGAGAUAAGCGUGAUAUCGUGAUUCGUGGAUUAAUGUGAAACUUCUUUAUUGCCUUUCAAGUUUAACGUUACGUAGAUUUAGAUCUACGAUUGUCGUCGAGAGUUUGUUAAUAUUUUUUAUUCGCGUUAUGAGAAAUCGUUUCGUCGACGCUUUGAAAGGCAAAUCGAUUCAAUUUCGAAAAAUUCACACAUUUUUAUUUCCCCUCGAGAAUCUAUUAAUUUUAUCACAGAUAAUAGUUUUUAUCAAAAAGAAAAAAUUCGUGGAUUAAUUGUCAGACUAUUCCAACGCGAUUAACACACCUAUCAAGAAUACUCAUUUCAUGGCUAUUACGAAACAGCAUGCGAAAUUUUGAUCGCCUUUUAAUUCUCUCAAUUUUCUACUGUUUUCAAUAUAACCGUAACACAAUUCGAGUCGAGGAUUUCAAAUUUAAACUUAUUAUUUCCGAGAAAGAUAAGUUUAAGAAGAUAAUUAACAAACACAUAUGGAAAAAAAUCUUCAUCAGUAUAAAACCACGAUUGUCAUAGUUUCGUGACUUAUUUUUCCGUUUCCUUGAAACUUGCAAAGGUGAAUUUCACUUUAAUAAAGCGCGCAAAUUUUCUAUUACAGUCGAGACAUAAAACGUCCAUUAAACAAGAAGGAGAGAUAGCCAUCGACGAGGCUUAUUCAUUUGAAACGCCUUUGAUCGUUAUCAAAAACCUUGGUGUCUCCCUUAUCCCUCCUCUCGUUCGAACAAUCGUUUCCAAAAAUCGAGGAGGAGAAAUAGUAAGGAGGUUACGAUGAAACGGCACCGACCGGUAGUAACGAUCAAUCGGAUCCUCUGCCAUCCUCUGCCGCGAGUUAACUAGGGCUAAAUAAGGUAGCCGGCUCGGUAAAUAAUUGUAUCUCGUAAAGCGACUAGGUAACCGAGGAUUUAUAUGGGCGUAGCCGACGGGGCCGACACUUGCUACUUCGAUACACGACGGCGCGCACGCUCUCUUUCCCUCUCGUUUCUCUUCUCCUUUGCCAACUACCGCCUCCUCCUCCUCCUCCUCGUGUCCUUUUCCUUUCCUUCGAGCGCCUAGCACCGCACACGUGGAGGUGGUUUGCUCGAAAGGGGAUGGUGGUGCGCUCUACUCCUCGACCUUGCAUCAAACAGUUCAAUUUCGAUCGUGCAAAUUAACGGGGGUAAUUAUAUAUUCGCCGUGAUUUUAUCGGUGGUAGGGUCGAGAUUUCAUUUUUACCGUUGUUCGUUUUUUUCAUGCGUGAUAUUUUUUUCACUUCUUUAAUCGUUCUAUAUCGUUGGAUGGAUUUAAUUUUUUUUUUUUUUUUUUACUUUAUCUCCUCGUGGAAAGUAUGGUAGAUAUGUAAAUGUUAUGAAUAUUAUUGGGUGAAAACUCGAGCGGAUUCCUCCCACGUGGAAAUUUUAACUUGCUCUCUGUCGAAUUCGUGGCGAAAUACUAUCGUUUGAUACUGUAUUUCGUCGAUCGGAAAGAAAGGAGAGUUUUCAAGUUGUGGAGAUUUCAUCUUAUCUAAGUUUUGAAUAAAAAAGAUUAGUUAAUUCGAAAAUUGUACGAGGAUUAAAGAUUCGAGUGUCGCUUUCGAAACGAGUUGAAACAAGAAUCGAAUAAUCGUUUAUUGAUAAAUUGUAACACAUCUGGGUUCUAGAACAAUCGAUGAUAAAAAUUUGACUUACGAAAGUAAGCUUGUUUCGAUUCGAAUAGGAUACUUGAUUGUUCAAUAUUUAUUUAUUUCAUGAAAAGAAAAAAAAGAAAAAAGAAAAAAUCAGGAUUUCUUCGAGAUGUUGGAAAUUAUCCACUCUGCGAAAAUCCACUGUCAAUCUCUCUAACAUUUUUUUGUACGUAACAAGUGAUUCGUAAAAUUUUCCAAACAAUCAAUCGGGUUCUCGUAAAUUUUAUAUAUCCACUUGCAAUAGAAUUUCCAAUAGAAUGUUCAGACAAAUAGUUUAUUUUCCUUACUAUCGCGGAAUUCCUCUCCAAUGUGUUUUUAAUGGAAUUAAAAAGUUUCCACGGGCGCGGAUCGUUGCACCGUUUAACUCUCACGGGCGGAUGAUUGGCAGAGAAAUAGUUCACGCGGGAAAAAGAAAAGUCUCCCCCGCCUCCUUCCUCCCCUCGAUCGUUGAUCAACGAUCUGGGAAAUUAAUUAUCGUGCACGAAGGAGCCUCCCGGAGAUUAUUAGUCACGGCUUGUCCGGCGAGUUCACGCCGCCUCGAAGGUCCUUUGCUCUCUUUCCCUCUUUCCCUCCCGCUCUCUUGAUUCGAUGAGCUCACGCUCGUGGAUCCGCUAAUCUUAUCUGCCGCCAAGAUAACCGUUCGCCAAGAUAAAACCGAUAAAAUCGUAGCUUUUGGCGAUCGUGUCUCCGCUCUUUAACGACGCGGUGAAAACGUGAAAACGUUUUCUUCUGGGGGAGGGCACUUCCACGAGCGGUUAAUUUAUUCAAUGGAAACCCUUUUCCGAGUAGAUGAGCCGGGCGGAAGUCACGCGUGGCACGGGGCACGUGCACGCGUGACCAUCCUCUUUUCUAGCUUCUUCUACGACUCUCGAUCGAGACUUUCUUGGCUUGCUUUUUAACCAGCGUGUCCAUGAAUCUAUCUAUCGCGAAAUUUUCACGGUAGAGGGAUAUAAAGUUAUUUUUUUUUAAGUAUCUUUGAGAAAAGUUUCACUAUAGCAAGUGAUAAAGCAAUGGCGAGAAAAUUCGUAAUAAAAAUUUAUGUGCGUAAAUUGCGUAACGAGUGUAAUAUUCAGUUUGAAAAAUUAUAAAAAAAGUGAUACGGAAUAAAUUUUUCCUUGAUUUCUUUACGAGUCGGUUAAGUCCUCGUUAAAGAACAAUGGAAUUUAGGAAACAAUUUUUUUCCGUAUCGUUAGUAGUUGCCAAAAUAUUCGGAAAAAUAUGUUGUCAAUUUUGAGAGCUGAUUUCAAAGUGGAUGUCAGCCGAUAAAAAAAAAAUACGUGUCAAAUAUUCUUUUUUUAACUACCUCUCCUAUAAAUUUCAUCAAAAUCCCACUUUGAUGAAUGUUUCUUUGUUAGAAAUAUUUUUUUUUAAAAUUGUUGCGUUUGUACUAUUCUAUCGGUAGAAUUUUUUUUGCCCAUCAUCCCUAAUUUUUUCAAUCCAAAAGCUGUCAAAACUCUGUUAAAAUACACACUUCGCGCCCAAUUUAAAAUUAGGUACCUUACUAGGCGCGAUAUUUUAUUUCCGAUACGUAACUUCCUAUCGACGGGCAUAGACACGCUCGUAAUAUUUUGUCCCAAAAUGAAUAAAUCCGAUAAAUGCAUCCAGCUCAUUUCCCCCCCUACGCGGGAAUAUCCGCGUUAAAUUUUCGCAAAAUAUUUUUUACAUCCAAUUAAUCCAAGUGUCGCUUCAACGUUAUAAAUUAAUCGAGGAAAAAUUUGAACGAAGCACGGAUUAAUUGAACGGGGCGAAAAAUCUCUUCCUCGCGGUGCGAAAAGGGGCCGAUUGUAAUUAUCUCCCAACACCCUCUUACGAAACUCGCCACUAUCUCGAUAGUCGAGUGAUCGGGAUUCCAGCGAAAAUUCCGCUCGAGGGAUCGGUUUAUUCGCGUGCAUCGGUUAACGGAACAUCGUGCCAGCCGGGGAGCUGCUCCUCUGGAAACUGGUUAAAUUCUAAUACGCCCCGUUCCCGGGGCCGGCUCUAGGGGGAGGGGGUAGAAGGCGACGGGGGCCCACGUUUAGCUGGCGCGAAAGGGAGGGGGCGACGGGCGGGUGAAGAGGUGGUUCCGCGGCGGCCGUAUAGAAGAGAGCAGCAGGCCCCUAAUUUGGGACUUUAUCGUCUUGUUAUCCUUGCACCUUACGAUGCUGACGACCGAGAUGCUCCUCCGAGGUGUCCCGGUGUCACUGUUCUCCGCCGCCACCUUUUCGUCGAUGGUCGUGCCUCGUCGUGUCUCCCUCCCCCCUUCCUCUGCCCGAACGUAUCGAUAUAUGGCGAGUACGAGUCGGGGGCCGCCGCGCGAUGCGCGUUCACACACGACACGAAUGGAGGACGGGGAAGGGAAAGAAAUCGUGGAAAACGGGGGAGGAGAGGAAUGAGAAGAGGAGAGAGGACGAGGGAAAAGGAAGGAGAGGGAGAGAAGGAAGGAAGGAAGGAAGGAAGGAGCGGAGAGACGAGGACGUAUAUAUAUAUAUAUGUAGCGUAGGAUGGUAGUAGGAGUGGGUGCCCGUGUGUCUCCUUGCCUUCGCCUCUUCCUCCUCCUCCUCUCCGUGGACACUCGGACCCAGUGGGGCCCCUUCCCCCUCCUCCGCUCCUUCUCAGGCAGCCCGAGGCCAAGAACAGGCAGGGCCGUAGGCCCCAACCUCGGCACCGUCGGCUACUCGUACGCUUUUGCGGCGUUGCCGAGUCCUCCUCUCCUUCGAUCACUCUCGAGAGCGUGCGCUCCUCUUCUCGCACUCUCGUUUCGACGAGAGAGAGAGAGAGGGAGGGAGGGAGAGGAGGAGAGGGGGCCCCGGUUUCGCAUAAAUUACCGCUCUGCGUGCCCGGUACCAGAGAGAGAGCCUUUUCGACGUGUCACGUAUUAUAUACACACAUGCACGGCCCGUUUCGAGCGCGGGAGAAUUGAUUUUAAAGAAGCCGGGCAGAGGGAGGAAAUUGGAGUGUGUGUGUAAGGAAGAGAGAGAGAGAAGGAUCGUUCGCACACACGAUUACAGUGGCUAUUACAGCGGUUCUGGCUUCUCUCCGCCCGCGGUGGUUGCGUUUCGACGCGCCACCCUUCUCUCUCUCUCUCUCUGCUCGCUUUUCUUCUCCUCCUAGUUUCCUCCUAGUUUAGGGAGGGGAAUUUAUGGAGGGCCAGCAGGUGUAUUUGCGUUGCUCGUUAAUGGAGAACCGACCACCCCUCCCCCUCGAAUUCUCAGUCUCCUCGAAGCACUUCCACUUCCGAAUCCUUUUAAAACCGUGUUUCGUUACGUUAUAACAUAAGAUAGGGGGACACGUCGCGUUCUGACUGAUCCCUUUCCUCCCGCCGAGACUUCGCACCACGUAUCCAAGCGGCGACCCAACCUUGCCGCGCCCCGUUUUCUUAUUUGAAUUUCUCGCCUUAUGGUCACCUUACGAGGUUAUGGGGGGCCGGCUCGUAAAUUCGUGUGGAACGCGCACGCGUUCGAGAAUUGGAUUCUGCUUGACGGAGCAGCGGAUGUUGGCAGGAUCGCGCGCUCCUUCCCGGAUGGAAGGUCGUCGGACCGAAAAUAUCGCGCCGCGACCGACUCCUCCUCGUUGAAUUCCUUGGCUUAUUUUUUUUCUUUUUCUUUCUUUCUUUCUUUUCUGGAAAUUACCGUCGACUAAAAUCGUUGGACUAAACAGAAGACGGUCGUCGUACCACCACUUCCCUCGUCCUCUUAUUUUUCUUCUCCCUGCCGUUGUUCUCUUUUUCUUCCUCUUCUUCUUCUUCUUCUUCUUCUUCUUCCCUUUGCUCCGCCACGGUACGCCCACGGAGAAGGUCGCUCGAUUCGGUUUGGCGACAAACAGGCCGAUCGAAAACCCCUCGUGGAAACAAAUCUUCGCUCGCCUCGAUCGUUUCUCCGUCGGAACUCCCCUCGCUUCCCCUCCCCUCCUCUGUCAAAACUGCACGUUCGGAUUUUCGUUGGGUACGACUACCCGCCGCGAUAGCUCGUGAAGAAAGCGCUUAUUGUGGCACGAAUCGCAGUGGACCCCUCCCCCCACACCGCGUGGAGCGGACGGGCGAGCGAGCGAGCGAGCGAGCGUUUUGAAGGAAGAUUUUCAGGAUUGUCGGGCGUCGGUUUCAAUGGGUGACGGAUCUCGAACAAUGGGGUCGCGAGUGUCGGUUAAUCGGCGUAUCGACACUCGAAACCUUUUCUAUUUCGAUCGACCCUGUUCCCUUCCACGCUUCCCCCUCGCUUCUUAUUCUUAUACACGGGAGAGGAAUCGAAUUACCGAAUUCGGCUCUCGUGAAUUCCGCUCGAACGAAGGAAAUUGCGAUUCUCGAGGAGAGGCUUUAAGAUCUUUAUAUCUUAACAAGAAUAAGCGUGUAUCUCGAGUGAAAGAAGAUAUUCGAUCAUCGUUGUUCAUUUCUUCGAAAAUAAUGAAUCUCGCGUUGCAGAAAUGAUAAUUGUCCCCUAGGAGGGGAUCGAUCGCGAUUAAAAACUCAACUAUUAAUAACCGACAAACUUGCCUCUUUUUUCAACCGUUAUCAUAGACACGCUCCCUCGCUUUCUUCUCAAGAAACGUUCCCCCGGUUAUCUCGGCUUUAUCUCGCCCCAUUACCAUCGUAAAACCCUCCACCGUAGACGCUAGAGGGAGCACGCUUUCUCGUGUUAUUACCGCGCUCCUCUCGUAUUCUCCUUCUAUCUUGAUCUGCUCGCCGGUGUACGCGAGAGAAAUCGUAAACUCGUCGAAACGAGAGUAGUAAAGCCUACUUCACACGCGACGAUCCAAUCGUCUUAUACCUGCAUGAUGGAUGUCGAUUGAAUUAGGUGGAAUCGUUUAGCUCGAUCCAAGAUGGAAGGUGUAAAGGCUACUUAAUUAGGAAAGUGGUAUAUACAUUUCACAUACGUACGUUUUUUACACUUUCACAAUUUUUCUAGAAUCCUCCAAGGCUCUAGUUCUAAUAUUUUCCGUAUAUACCCCGUUGCUGCGGGUGCUUGGGAUGCUGUGUGAAAGAUGCUUAAAAAAACAUACCUUGGAUCACAUUCGAUUUUUAUGGAUGAAUAUCUCAUUGGAGGAUAUGUAAGCAUGUAUUUCUUUCUUUUAACGAACCUUUCUCUAGAAACACCACGUUUUCAGACAACAUUCGUUGAACUAUAAAUAAAGAUUACUUUAAAAUCGUGAUUUCUCCUCCUCGUACCUCCGAAUAAAUAUAUCCGCAUUCGUUUCAAAUCAAUUAUAAAAAAAAAAAUGUAUUGUAUCCAAAAAAGAAAAAAAAAUCAUAAAAUUAAAAAUUAUCACUUUGUAUAUAUACCUUCGUAUAUAUACCUGUACAUGCACAAAUCCUCCUACUAAACGCUCUUUAAUAUCACGGAACAACGUAUCUACAUAACAUACGAUACAUAAAUUUCUACGUAAAAGAAAAAAAAAACUGUCACCAGACUCCUCCUCCACCCCCUCCCUUCCCAAUUUCCCGCGCCUGGGGAAGAAGAAUCGGUCGUCUCCCUUUCCCCGAGUCCCAUCGACCGGGUCUACGCGAAACGACGGUGGAAAAAAAAAGAGAAAAGAGGAAAGGAAAAAAAAACAAAAUCGUAUGCAGAAUAGGAGGCUCUCGGCCGGCGAGAAUUCGGCAAUCGUAAAUGGUGUUUCGAAGGAGCGCGCGGGCAAAGCAGCCUUGGCCGAAGGCGCUGGCACGGCACCCAUUGUCCGCGCCGUCUCUUGUUACGAGACGAGACGAGCCGGUCAGAGGGACAGAGAGGUGUCCGUGUGUUGGACAGAGAGGGAGAAAGAAACGGCAGGAGAAAGAAGGGGGAGGAGAGAGAGAGAGAGAGAGAGAGGGAGGGAGGCAGGCAGACGGCGGUCAAACAGGCAGACCCAGGCUCCUUCCUCCUCGUUCUUUUCCUUCUGCUUCUCUCCGUUCGUCCCGCGGUGUGCUCGUCUUCUCUUUCUUUUGUUGCUUUCCUUUGCACACGGGUCUUGCCAUGCCGGGGACCGUGCCGAGUCAAAACCACCUAUGCGAGCCUGGCAAGGCCCCCGGCAGUAGGUCUGUUGCCUCGAGGCCUCUGGCCUCUUCUCUUCUCUUCAACGAGACGUUAUUUUCGUCUCUCUUGUUCCUCUUCUCUCUCUUUCUCUCUCUCUCUCUCUCGUACUCUGCAAAGUCUUCUUUUCCUUCAAAGUGUAGCCUCUUCUUCGCUUGGUAGAUUGCAACAAGGCCCUCCUCCUCCUUCUUCCCUUCUUCUUCUUCUUCUUCUUCUUCUUCUUCUUCUUCUUCUGCCUGGGCCCACAUUGACCUCCGGUCAAGCCAGGCCGCCGAGUUUUCGUACGCGGCUCCCUCUCGCAGGAACCGAUGACAGGACGGUUUGAAAAUUUUCGUUCGUUGGUGGAAAUCGUUGUUGGCGGUAUUUGUUUCAGGUAUCUCUGCCCGAGGUAGCUCGUUUCGUUUGGAAAGAAUAAUUUGCUCGAUUUCUAAUUUCUAAUGGCUCGUGUAAAAUAUAGGUUAAUUUAAUCACGAAUCAAUAAUCACACAAUAAUUAUCCGUCAAAAAUUGAAAAAGAAAAGAAAGAGAGAGAAAAAAGAAAAUUCACAAAAAUUGGACGAAGCUAUCCUUUAUCCGUUUUAUCCGUCGUGGAUUAUUAUCGACCCACUCGAUGUAAAAAAUUUUGAUAUUUCCUAGAUUCUAGUUAUCUUCUCGAGACUUAUCAAAGUCGGCCCACGUAAAAUGAAGAACAUUCACAAAAAUUCGAUAAUCCACGUUUCUCUCGAUCCCGCGGUUAUCUUCCGCGGACUAUCAAACCGGCCCACGUGAAAACGCAUCGAGGCCGAAAAAAGAAAAGAAAAAAAAAGAGAAAAAGAAAAAAGAAAUUCCGAUCUAAACAAAAUAAUCGGCGUAGAGCAGGUUUCCGAUCGGCUCGAUCGUUUCCUCGGUGGCCUCGCGCUCGCUCUCGGAUUCUAACCAGCCUGGCACGUCGCAGGCCCCGUAUACGUGACAGUGGGUCUUGCCUCGAGGCCUGUCAGGAAUCUCCGGGUCCCAUUACGAGGGUGCGCCUACUUGCUUGAUCUUUUACACGGCGAAAACCCGUUUCGUUGUCUCUCGGAUGAUCCAACGUAUCUUGGCGCACGUGCGCUUUUCCGAGAGAAAGAGAGAGGAAGAGGGAAAAUCGCCGACUCUCAUCCCGAGACGCCAUCGCGACCGGGAAGAACUAGUUUCUCUCUAUCGCCCGCCUUUAUAUUAUGCAAAUAUACGCGGUGCACGAUAAUGAGAUUCCGUCCUCGCCUCGGUGAUAAAUAAUCAGCUUUCUCUAAUGAAAAUCACGGCCUAUCCCCGCGGAAAUUCUACAACGGUCACGAGCUGUUCCUCGAUAUUCGUAAUCAUCGGUUGCCAUCUGCUCAUCCUUGGCUCUGGCUAUCUUUCCUAGAGAGAGAGAGAGAGAGAGAGAGAGAGAGGAAGAGGGAGAAAGGGAGAAGUGUCGUCGAAAUGUUGUUGUCGGGGGGUAAAAAUUCAUGAUUCGGGAAAGAACAACGGUGGCCGUGAUACACUUGUUGCGCAGAAGUGGAAUGUUUCGAGACGAAAUUUGCCUCGGUGCCUGUUUCAACCACUCCACUCCCCUUUCCUUUCAGUCUUUUCGCCUCUUAAAGGUCUAAUUCUUUGUACACAGACCUCCCGCGUCGAGGGUCACCACCAGGUUACACCAACCAGGCCGCCACGCAUUUGCCAUUUCGGCAUUUUACCCGAAACCUUGGUCCUUUCCAGACUCAGCUAGAAACCUGACUCUUAAAUUUCUCGGAGCCAUCCACGGAGCCAUCUUCCACUCCUGAUCCUCCAGAUAUCCUGGCAAAAAUUCUUAUAUAUAUAUAUAUAUAAGAAACUCUUGGUCUGUUGCGUGAUACGCGAUUGUGUACGCCACGUGAGAGAUUGUGCUUCUGGAACUUUCACUGGAACUUUUACCGUUUUUUUUUUCUUUUCGUCUUUUUUGGAUUUGCCAAACGUUCUAUAUGCAGCUUGAAUAAUUAUUUGGUUACGUGAAAUUCGUGACUCGAAGAAUUUCGUGUAAAUUUUUUUUUUUUUCGAUCGUGUAUGUGUUGUUGUUGUUGGUAUUGUUGGAAAGUUGUCAGGAUUAUUCCAGAUUCUGAAAUUUCGAGCACGGUGCCGUGUUAUUCGAGGCAUGAUUAAAAUUGGUCGUCAUAAAUCACUGACAAGAGUUGGCAAGAAAUAUUAAUCUUUUGGUAAAAUAAAAAAAACUUUGGUAAAAAAUUGUGAAAUCUAAAAAUAAUUAUCUAUAAAAUUUGACUUUUGGUUCAUUUCUAAGAUUUCCAUUAAUAUAACGUUUCUUUGCUUAGAAUUAAUUUGCUCAGAAAUUUGAAUUAUUUGUGAUAAGAUAGACCGAAUAAAUGCAACGACAUAAACAAAAUACCAAAAAAAGAAAAAAAGAUUUGUCCCUUAAAAUAGACCCAAUCUCUCGAGAUGAAAAAAGAAAAAAAAGAAACUAUCCAAAAUUCAUAUACGAACGAAACUUUGGCCCUCGACUAAAGGGCACUACUUGUGCAUAAACAUUCAGCAUGCGUUUCUCUCUCGUAAACAGAGACGACUCGUUUACCCGUGACUAAAAAGCGAUGUCAUAGGUUUUCAGCGUACAAUCCUCGAAGAAAAUUGGUGGAUGCAAACAGGCAGCAUCUGCGGCCAGGACCCAAGCACUUGUUGCACAAAGGGUGUCGGUGGACGAAAAUUCUUGCCCCUAACCCGCCCCCCUCUCCCUCCCUUCCCUCUCUUUUUCCCUCGUUCGAUUUCCACGACGGGGCCCCCCGUGUCGAGGGGUCACAGACGUCGACGUGGACGAGAGGCACAAGUACGGAUUUCUAUUGACACAGGCCAAUAGGGCCUGGCCUCCGGUCUCCGCAGGAAUCCUGUACGGUCCUUUUUGGCGUCGUUUAGAGGCUGGAGAAAGGGGGUGCUGUAAUCCCUGGAUCUCUUUUUUUCGUCUUCUCUCUCUUUCUCUCUCGUGUGUAUCGUUUCCUGAAAGACGGAAGCACUUGAUAAAUCUUGGAGAAUUCCGUCCAAUGGAAAUCGUAUUCUUGGCACGCAUUCGCUCGUGGAAUUAAUUUCUCCCCGAGGAAAGUUUCCUCCUUUUCGUUCCUUCCAUUCCCUGGGAAUACGAGGAUUGCAUUGUCCACCUUGUUUGUUUGCUUCAUAAACGCGGUUGGAUAUUUUUCUUGGUAAACCUUUUAUUAAUUCGGGCGAAAGUUUCUUCUUCGAAUCUCUUCUCGAAUCCCCAUCGAUUCUUGUUAGAGGGAAUUUUGAAUUCAAAUCAAGGAAAUUUCAAGUUACGUUUAUUUUUUACAGAUUUAGAGAAUUCCUCACGAAUGCUGGAAAAAAUUUUCGAAUGGAACAGAUAUCUGGCAAAUAAUUCUGAAGCUUUCUAUUUAUACAAAGGGAAGAAAAUAAGACUACAUACGUUAGAACCAUAUCUAACAAUUAAAUCGUAAAACUUGUGAAAUUGAAUUAUUGAUCAUUUUGCGUCUCCACGAAUAAAAUAUUUUCAAAAAGAAAAAAAAAACGACUCGUAUAUAUUUCUUUCUUCUUCCUUCGCUGUGGAAUUCUCGGUAUUGCGGGGGUCUAAAAAAAAAAAUAUAUAUAUAUAUAUGUGGGCGCAACCUCGUCUCCCUUGCUCGUGAAUUUGAGAACGGUCCAUGGUGGCGCACAGUGUCGGCAGGUCGGUAGGUAGGCAUAUACCGUUGAUGGACCAGAGCUAAUCUAAAAAUCGCCGGAACUUCACAAUUAUAGUAAUUUACCAGCCGACAACAAGCUGUACACACAAGCUUGUGCCCUAUAAUGGCAUUAACGGCACGCUCUUUCGCUCCCGUGUCCUUUUUAACCAUGGAAUCCGGCCCGAUUCGGUGCCCAAAACUCGACCGGACAGUUUACCAUCGAGCUUUUCUAUCCCUUACGUGCCCUCAUCUUCAAUUUUUUUCAAUAGGAAUUCGAUGCAGUAAUUCUCGAAUAAAUAAAAUUUCAAAACAGAGAUAUAAUCGCGCGAUAAGAAACGGCUAAAUAAAUAUUCGACGGAUGUUGUGUUUAAAAGAAGAAAGAUGCAAGAUUUAAGGAUUUAUAGUAUACUAAGAAGAGUGAAAAAUCGAUUUUUGAAUAUUUGAGCGAGUUUAUUUGUACAUUCAAGAUUUAAUAAAAUACUUUUUAUUUAUUAUUGACUGUAAUUAUUGUAAAAGAAGUUUGGAAGAGAUAUUUAAACGAGGAAGAUUUGCAUUAAAUAUUUCUAAAUCGAUUUAACAUUGAAACUUGGACCCCCUUUUUUACGAGACACCCCCUUUUUUCGUCUCCCUCUUUACCCUGCGAGUCAUCGUUGGAUACAAACGAGGUCUAUAUCAUCCACCCACCGCGCCUCGUUACCGAACACCGGUCGGUGAUGAUCAUUGCAGCCCCUCUCGGCACGAAAUUGCAGAGGUAUAUAGGGAAAAAAAAAAAAAGAAAAAAAGAAA